GGGCGCGUAGCUCAGCGGUAGAGCACUACGUUCACACCGUAGGGGUCACAGGUUCGAACCCUGUCGCGCCCACCA
rnacentral:tRNA from 1 species